UACGAAGGGGGCUAGCGUUGUUCGGAAUUACUGGGCGUAAAGCGUGCGCAGGCGGCCUUCCAAGUCAGGGGUGAAAGCCCAGAGCUCAACUCUGGAAUUGCCUUUGAGACUGUGAGGCUUGAGUACGGGAGAGGUGAGUGGAAUUCCCAGUGUAGAGGUGAAAUUCGUAGAUAUUCGGAAGAACACCAGUGGCGAAGGCGACUCGCUGGACAAGUAUUGACGCUGAGGUGCGAAAGCGUGGGGAGCAAACAGG
rnacentral:rRNA from 1 species